CGGUGUUUAACUGGCGUGAUGUGGGACGUCCUACCGGUGGGCUUAGCCUCGCGAGGGGCGGCCCAACUAAUAUCCCGUCGCGGUGCUCUUUACUGAGUGUCGAGUCGGGCCGGUACUUUUACUUUGAACAAAUUAGAGUGCUUAAAGCAGGCUAUCCUCGCCUGAAUACUGCGUGCAUGGAAUAAUGGAAUAGGACCUCGGUUCUAUUUUGUUGGUUUUCGGAACCCCGAGGUAAUGAUUAAUAGGGACAGAUGGGGGCAUUCGUAUUGCGACGUUAGAGGUGAAAUUCUUGGAUCGUCGCAAGACGGACAGAAGCGAAAGCAUUUGCCAAAAAUGUUUUCAUUAAUCAAGAACGAAAGUUAGAGGUUCGAAGGCGAUCAGAUACCGCCCUAGUUCUAACCAUAAACGAUGCCAGCUAGCGAUCCGCCGAAGUUCCUCCGAUGACUCGGCGGGCAGCUUCCGGGAAACCAAAGCUUUUGGGUUCCGGGGGAAGUAUGGUUGCAAAGCUGAAACUUAAAGGAAUUGACGGAAGGGCACCACCAGGAGUGGAGCCUGCGGCUUAAUUUGACUCAACACGGGAAACCUCACCAGGCCCAGACACCGGAAGGAUUGACAGAUUGAUAGCUCUUUCUUGAUUCGGUGGGGUGGGUGGUGCAUGGCCGUUUUUAGUUGGUGGAGAGAUUUGUCUGGUUAAUUCCGAUAACGAACGAGACUCUAGCCUGCUAAAUAGGCGUACCUUAUGGUAUCGCGAAGGCCCCCGGCUUCGGCCGGUGGGUUUUUACUACCAACGUACAAACAAAUCUUCUAGAGGGACAGGCGG
rnacentral:rRNA from 1 species